AAAUGCUCCACAUGGCUCCAGUUACCCUGCAGAAAAGAAAUCAUCAGCUUUCUGCAGCAUCAGAAUUAGCAGCAUCUUCCUGUCCCAAGAGAAGAGGGUAUGGGAGGAUGGCACGGUUCAGGGCUUAGGGGAGGAUAGGGGAGAAAAAGUGGAAGCAAAGGGAGAGGCCCAGGAAGGAUUUUGUUGCGACAUGUUACCUGGGCUGCACCUGCUGUAUGCAAGAGAAGAGGCUGGGAGUCCCCUCUGCAGGGUGUUCAUGCCCCAUCUCUGUGCCACGAGGAGAUGGGCUGCUGAAGGAUAUAUCAGCACAACUUCUCUGCUCCAACUAGUCUCCAUUGCAAAGCAUCUCCUAGUGUCUUUGGAAGAAGGAUCUAUGGUGUUAUAUGUGAACAAAGAUGUAAAGACUAGUAAGAUGUCAAGAUUUGAUGGGGAUAUCCAGACAACUUGGAGCCAAGUCCCCACAGCUGGAUCAGACAACUUUGGUGACAUCUCACAGUGUGGAUUAUCAAGCCAAUGUAUCAGCCUGGAGCCUA
rnacentral:antisense_RNA from 1 species